CCAGAACGCUGUGUCCAUCUACAUCUUUGCUGAGGGAUCGGGUAGCCUGGAGUUUGCCCUCUGCUGUGUUGGCUUGAAGCUCAUAGGAGACUUAAGAUGGGCUCUCGAGCAACCAAUGUUCUGUCCUUUGCUGUAGACUGUGAAGCAUCCUGUGUGUGUGAAGCACCCGCCAUCAGUCAAGUAUGCCCGGUGCUUUCUCUCAGAACUCAUCAAAAAGAAUUCCAUUGUCUCAAGAAUGUUCGAUGAAUGGAAUCCUGUGUGGCCUGAGAUGAGUGUCUUUCAUGCCGCGUGACACCCUUGAGGCCCGUGCAAGCUGUUGGUAUGUAAACAGUCAGCUGCUUCUCAUUGCUGAGUGGCGAUUGGUCCUGUCAUGGUUUAUUCAGCCAUGUGGUGGAUGGCUACUUGUCUUCUAAGCCACUUGUUUUCUUAUUGCUGGACUUACUGUCUCACGCUCUCUUGGUGCAGCCCUCGGAAGGCUUGGUCACACUCUCCGAGAGCACAGCCAUCAUCUCCCACGGUACCACAGGCCUGGUCACAUGGGAUGCCACCUGCUACCUUGCAGAAUGGGCCAUCGAGAACCCGGCAGCCUUCACUAACAGACGUGCUGUAUUGCCCAGAAGCCAUCGUGUCGCUGGUCGGGGUCCUGCGGAGGCUGGCUGCCUGCCGGGAGCACCAGCGGGCUCCUGAGGUCUACAUGGCCUUUACCGUCCACAACCCAGAGACAUGCCAGCUGUUCACCACCGAGCUAGGCUGGGCUGGGAUCAGAUGGGAAGCGGAAGCUCAUCAUGACCAGAAACUGUUUCCCUAUGGAGAGCACUUGGAGAUGGCAGUGCUGAACCUCACACUGUAGGACUCACACACGACUCCAAUGGGAUUGUGAGAAUCAAGUCACUCUCGUGGGAAGAAUUUUUAUAUGGGAAAGCGGAUAAAACUUUCAUUGGACUGGAAUGUUUGGAGAAUGUUAAAUUCCAAAUCAGGAACCACAAACUGCCCUCUAAUAAGACAUCGGCUAUCUAAGCGUGUGGGUGCCCCCUUUCUGCCAGCAGUUCUGGUUCUUAAGAAAAUCACCAUAAAUCAGACAUGAAAAUUCUGGCUCCAAAAAUAGCAUUUUCUUUGUGCAAAUAAAAACGUGUGUAUCUAAUAUGACGUUCCCCCAACGUGGACACACUCGGUUCCUCACAAAGCCAAGCCCGCUGCAGCUGCCACAUCCCUGGACACACUCGGUUCCUCACAAAGCCAAGCCC
rnacentral:lncRNA from 1 species